GAGUUUGAUCGUGGCUCAGAGUGAACGCUGGCGGUAGGCCUAACACAUGCAAGUCGAACGGCAGCACAGUAAGAGCUUGCUCUUAUGGGUGGCGAGUGGCGGACGGGUGAGGAAUACAUCGGAAUCUACUUUUUCGUGGGGGAUAACGUAGGGAAACUUACGCUAAUACCGCAUACGACCUACGGGUGAAAGCAGGGGAUCUUCGGACCUUGCGCGAUUGAAUGAGCCGAUGUCGGAUUAGCUAGUUGGCGGGGUAAAGGCCCACCAAGGCGACGAUCCGUAGCUGGUCUGAGAGGAUGAUCAGCCACACUGGAACUGAGACACGGUCCAGACUCCUACGGGAGGCAGCAGUGGGAAUAUUGGACAAUGGGCGCAAGCCUGAUCCAGCCAUACCGCGUGGGUGAAGAAGGCC
rnacentral:rRNA from 1 species